UUUGCAGUUUAUUUAGAGUACGUGUCGUCUUCCGCUGAACCCUAGUCUUCUACAAUAUCGUCUUCUCCACUGAACCCUCUGCACAAAUUCUAGUUUCUCGCCGCCACCACGUUCUCGCUGCCGCCACGUUCUCGCCGCCGAGAUUUGUAGCCACGACGCCCCUGUCUCUUGCAACCACCGCCAACGAGCAGUAGCAGCAAGGAGUUUUCAUCUCCGCCGCGCCUUCAUUCUCGCCGCCGAGAUUUCCAGCCGGCAUUACAAUCCAAUUCCAAGUAAUGUGGAUUUUUUAUAUUUGCGUUUCAUGAAGGAAAUCAUCGAAUGAGCUAUAAAGAGUGGUUCGAUUUCUCUACAUUCACUUGAACAUCGAACUUGUUAUGCUCAAAAGAAGAUUGGUGAAGUUCGUAUUGAGUGAAGCAAACCUCUUAUUGGAACACAUAAUAUGAUUGUUUUUAGUGAUAGCUAGCGAUAGUAGUACUUUUUUAAAAUAGAUUUAUUGUCUUGGUAUAUAUACUUGUACUUCAUACUUGGUAUUUAUGAUUUAAUGAUGGAAUAUUUGGUAUUA